rnacentral:snoRNA from 1 species
CUUCUGUGAUGAUUCGAUGACGAGACGGAGUAGGAACUUCUCUGGUUCUGAAGGUGACCGGUUCAUGAUCACGUUCUGUGGUUUUGCUCCAGUUCUUCAGAUUCAGGGUUCCUUUUAACGUGAAGACACAGAGGCAUUUGUCUGAGAAGG